GAGUCUCCUGUGCUUCUUUGCUAGUAAAGCCAAUGAAACUUUUUUCCUUUUUCUCAACAUCCGUCCUCAUUAUUGGAUUGGACUUGGAGACAAAGGACUGAGCUUUUGGUGACAGCUCUGCAGCAUAGAUGUGACCCUGGAAUCCCUUUUCUCUGAGUUCCUGCUGAGGCCCACUCCCUUUUGGCUUUUGGCCUUCCUUUUUGUUUUCUUGGUUUUACUAAAACAGACUCUGAGAAUGAUUCUCAGAAUGCGUGCAGACACAUUUACUGAACCUUUGCUUCUGUUUUUAUAUUUGUGCUUAACAGUUUGGUUGUGUAAAAAUUCUAGGUUCCUUUUCCCUUUGAGCCUGAAGGCAUUGCCGUGUGCUGUCUGCCCACUGGCUACAAGGUUCACCUGCUUUCAUGUGGUUGACUCUUUUGUUCCUGGGACUCCCGCCAGACAAAGAGCGCGCUUGGCUCCUGGGCUUCUGUCUCUUUGCAGAAGCAUCCCCUGACCUCCCAUGUGGCUCUGCUCUUCCAGCUCCUUUGCUCCCACCUGCCUCGAAUUGUGUAGGUCAGCUGGCCAGAGGGUUUCACAAGAAAAAGCUACCUCCCCAGACUCCUGCUCCAUUUGUUUCUGGGGUUCCUGGUCCUGUCCUCUAUUGGCAUCAGAUUCACCUUUAUAGGUCGGGAGCCACUUUAUCUAGAGGCUCCAAGGUUUGGAUUCUGAGGCAAGGCUGCUUAACUUCCCG
rnacentral:lncRNA from 1 species